GUUCUCGAGCACGCAAUAGUGCGACCUACAUCACAUUGAACACUCAACCUUAAUUGCUGAUUUUCACUGUUGAUGACAAAAAAUCAUCCCACAGCACUACAGCUUCUCAACAUAUAUCCGCAACUGUAUAUGGAAGUCAGGCCUACAAGAGUUUACCUUCAAGUUUUUCCGCAUGUCUUCAUCAUCAUGCUCGUGCAAGCGUCUCUCUUCCGCAAUGGCAGCUUGAAGGUUGUCUCGUUCACGGGUGCAUUGUUCUAAGCAACGUCGGUCAACUGCUUCUUGUUGUUCCAUAUCAAGGAGCUGCCCUACCCAAAUAGAAUCAGAUCACUUCUUAAUGGAACAACUUCAACUGUCAGGGCCAGCACAUUUUUUAGCUAUUUCCUAUUGAGGGAAACUAAAAGCCAAUGCCCCCCAGAGAUUGUCACCAGCAGAGGUCAUCAGGUGACAGUCAAUUCUUUUUCUUUUAACUCAAGGAGCCUUUCAGUUCAAAGUAUCUAUAGUGUCAUGAACUCCAAGCUUUUAGAGAACCACCAAGCUCAGAUGUUUACCAGCGCUUCGAGUUUGCGAUUCCUAUCGAUCUCAAAAUGCAAGCUUUUCUCAUCUGCCUGCUCCAGCUUACGGAGCCUGUGCAUGGAAGUGCAUGAGUUAGAAUAGUCUAAUUGAAGCAUGUUCGAAAGCUGCGACCGUUAUCGUCAAGGCGCUAUUGGAAAACACAACUACGAAGACAUUUGGAUUGUAACUUAAGCGACCACCAGUCAUUGGGUGAUGCUCACCUGUCACGGAGGUGCUUAUUCUCUUCAAGCUCCCUGGUGAUCUCGUUAUCAAAUGGUUGACCUUGACCGUUCAUACUGGUGAGCAUUCCAUUUAGCGUAACUGGAUCCGCCGCUCCUCUCAUUACCAUCUGUAGCUGCGAUGAUCUCACAAUAAUUAGUUUUUCAGCUGAAAAUUCAGUUAGAAUAUAACAAGCACUGGUACAAAGAGUGGCAUCUUCUUUGUCUCCUUGUGGUAUUAAUUAACGAAGACUGAGUAAGUGUAAAGCCUACUGUAUCAAAUCCGUUUGCAAGGUCCUCUUUACUCUUUCCGACUUCAGGAGAUUCUCUCGCAUCAGGCCCUGAUCCUUGCCACAUGAAGUUCUGAACAGACAAAAUUUGAUUCAAUUGAUUAGUUUCAUUUCUGCUUA